rnacentral:tRNA from 1 species
GGGCCUGUAGCUCAGCUGGCAGAGCAUCGGACUUUUAAUCCGCGGGUCGUGGGUUCGAGCCCCACCGGGCCCACCA